CCCUCUCUCUCUGGAACGACAACAACGGAUGAAGCAUCCUCAGCGGCGGUGGGGAACCAAAUCUUCAGCAGCGGCAAACUAACGCAUCCUCUGCGGCGGCAAGGAAUCAGGUAACGGCCCCCUCCCUCUCCUGGAGCCUUCCCUUCUCAGUCUCCCAUUGGGAUGGCGCAUAGUGACAGCUGGUCGAGGAACCGCCUGGAACGUGGUGAACUCCGAUGGCACCCCAGGCUCGAUGUUGGAGUUGAUUGGACGAAAAAGGGUUCCAACCAACACUUACAUCCAAGUAGCCGAUACAAACUCAUGCCACACACACACCCAAGGCGAGAUACAAGGAUGUCAGGCACCGACACACCGCCACAACAAUUACUGAGCACCUAUAAGAUGUGCAAGAAGGAACCGCUUAGAGCCGACCAAGACAACCACCAAGACGAUGCCUCCAAGAAGGGCACGACCACGAAAUGUCGCCAUCAUCCGAUCCAAAAAUCAAGUUUUCACCCGGAGCUAGAAGGAAGGAGUGGGAUCACCAAGACAGAGCCUGCAAGGAGGAACACGACGUCCGCGAACGACAUCACUGUCGGUCAGUGCACGGACUUGGCAAGUGACGUACCCCGGUGCUUCACCCCCUCUAUCGCAACCCCGCUCCGCGAACCACCCGUAGCCAUGCCUCCCGAGCGGCCAUGGUAGUCUACCUGCAUCUGAGCUGCACAGUCCGCCCACGACCAACGCGCCUCCCGCUACCAGGACCACCGGGACGCGAGAUCCGGCCUGUGCCACACCCCACGCCCGAGGAGACAAAGGGGCCUCGCCGUCGGUGGCGACGACCGGGCUUCGCCCGCUCGUGCCCCCUGGCGGCGGCGAGGGAGGGAGGAGAGGAGGAGGUGAGGGGAGACAGCGGCACUAGGGUUAGCCUCCCGGACGCUCACGGGAGCGUCCCGGGAGGAGGAGGGGUUUGAAAAAAAAAACUCUCGUUGAUUCAGCACUCGGAUGUGUCAUGCUUAGCAUGAACACGCAAUAUUGUAGUGCAACGGCGGUGCAAGAGCACGCGUGGCGUGCUAGAGGGCGCGGGUGGGUGGCGUCGCAUUUCUGGUCGAGGGCUUGUUGUUCCAAGAGAUGUAGCAUUGGAUUCAGUUCCUUAAUGGUGGACAACCAGCCGUAGUAUUGGGUUGGCUUUUGAUUAUUGCAGUUUCAGUUUAGGAGGGUAGAAAUCGAACUGCCAUCACAUUCUAUUGUUAAUGUUCGCAGUGAGCUUCUUGUGGCCUCAAGCUUUUGAAAUUUUCAAUAACCAGCUUUGUAAUAUUGGUCUAAUGUGGUUUUGUUAUUUUACAAACUACUAACUGAUGUGUUUGUGUGUCGACUGCCGGCUUCUGCUUGUGUGCUAAGCAGACCACAACAAUCAAGGGACGAAGAACGAAGGCACGUCAGUUCACAAGGCACUGGUUCGUCCUAGAUAUUAUCACCAAAAAUCAGCAUGCAAUUGUGGUGAGUUCCCACUAGCAGUGUAUCAUGAAUCCUUUAUUUUUGGCAACCAAUGAUUGCUACCUGCUGUCGCUGUAAUAUUGUCGUAUAAAUUUUGUUUUUAAUUUGUACGUUCCCCGCAAAAAGAGAAAUUCUGUUGAUUGUACACGCAAAAGAAAAUCUGUUGAUUGGAACCUUGGUAGCCUAUUCUUCCAUCUUUUUCCUGCUCCACAACAAAAGCUCUUCUCCUCCUGUCGGCGCCGUCGCCGGUCCGCCCCAUCUUCGAUGGACUCUAGGCCAUGGAGGUGCGGAGGAUCUCGACCCCCCGCCGGCGAGAGGGACCCCGUUCUCGUUCUUGUUAGGUUCAAUGUCUUAGUUGGGACUGUGUGGCGGCGGCGAUGUCUCUUAGUAGUAGGAAUAAUGUCUCCCACGUUCUAUCCCCGCCCCGAUGGUCUAUCUACCAUCGUCGGAGGGCGUGUCGAGGUUUGUCUCCGUCGAAUCUCGCGAGAUUCGGUCGGUGGUGGUCUUCGGUGGAUCUGUUUAGAUCCGGUCUUCAUUCGUCCUCGUUUGGGUGUUUACAGGUUUGAUCCUUCCGAUCUACAACUUUCUUCAUCGGCGAUGGUUGCUACUCUGGUGCGCUGGUCCUAUGGGGCCUUAGCACGAUGACUUCCCGACUGUCUACUACAAGAAGGUUUGCCCAGCUCUUGUGAGGGAGGGGCAAUGACGGCGGCGCGCCUUCGGUUCGCUCCAGUGCUGUAGUUAUCGCUAGGUGGUCCACAGACAUGGUUGUAAUUUUUAUUACCUCUGUUGUUCUUUCUACUGACAUGAUUGAAGGUGAACAGAUUGGAAGUUUCUCGCAAAAAAAAUCUGUUGAUUGUACACGCAAAAAGAAAAUAUGUUGAUUGUCUACUAAACAGAAGUGAAUACUCACUCAGCCAAGUUGUUUUACUUUUUGGCUAGAUAAUAUAUGCUCACUUUAAAUUUUCUUCUACAAUUUCAGGAAGGUGGGCUGGGUUUUUCCGUAGAGCAAGCACACGUAGAGACCUCCUUUGCUUGAUGUUUCUUUGUCAAUAGGACACCUCACACAUGUGCUAAUGGACAAAUAGUAAUACUGAUUUCCUUAUUUGUGAUACUUUGAGGAGUACUUGUGUGCGAUUAAUUUCCUUGUUCUAUUCCCAAUCCCUAGCAAUUUAGUUCUGACAAUGUAUAAUUGCAGUCUAUUAAUGUUUUGAACAGUUUGCU
rnacentral:lncRNA from 1 species